rnacentral:lncRNA from 1 species
GUCGCCGACUCCGGGCAAAGACUCACGGCAAUGUGAGAUACUUUCCUUAUUUGGAGAUUUUACAAAUAUUCCCCGUAUAUCUCCCAAAUAUUCCAAGGAUCUCUCGAAAAGAUCCGACGGUUACGUUAGGAGUCGCCGACUCACAGAGGGAGUCGCCGACUCACAAGGGUAAAAAACGAAAAUGCCCCCUGCCACGGAUAUCGCCGACUGCCAAGAGUAUUACACACUCCAGUCGCCGAUUCCGAGUACAAUAACACUAAAAACUGCCCCAAGUGCAAG